AGACAGGCUAAUCCAUUGGGGGAUCCAAGUAGAUGACCGCUGUUUGCUCUGUAAUGCGUAUCGUGAGUCUCGUGAUCAUCUCUUUUUUUCGUGUAAUUAUAGUUAUAACUUAUGGGAAAAGGUGGCAAGAAGAUUGCAACUUGUACCUCAGAGAGUUUGGCAGGAUACACUGGACCAGAUGAACUCUCUUCCUCCUCCCGCGACGCAGAGACUCCUCACGCUCCUCGCUUGGCAAGCUACGGGGAGUGAGAAAUACAAGACUCCAUGCUCAAACAUUCCGAUCAACUGAUCAAAUCUUCAAACUAGUUGACAGACAAAUCAGAAAUAAGAUCCAUGGCUUUCGCGAUUCUAAUCCGAACCGAUCAUCUUCAAUGUUGCAGAGUUGGAUCCGUUUUGGUUGAUGUUCACCGUCUCCUCCGUAACUUCAUUCGAUUCCUCUUCUUUCUCACCUUUGGGCUUAUUUACUUGGGCUAUUGCAAGGGUGUUGGGCUGUACUUGUUUGAUAUGGGCUAAAAUUUGACUAGAGUCUAUGACUUUUGUAUUGUUUUUGGUCUUUAUUUAAUAUUAAGAAAGCUGUUUUACAAAAAAAAAAAAAAAAAAAAAAACACAGGUAGUUGUUACCACGUAAUGUUGCAGGUAAACUUUUACUUCUCUUAUUGAC
rnacentral:lncRNA from 1 species